GGCUGGUCCAAGUGCAAUGAUGUUUGCAACUAAUUGAUCACAAUCAGUUUUACAGAUUUCUUUGUUCCUUCUCCAUUCCACUGCGUCACUUGACUAGCCUUAA
rnacentral:Y_RNA from 1 species